UACGUAGGGUGCAAGCGUUGUCCGGAAUUAUUGGGCGUAAAGAGCUCGUAGGCGGUUUGUCGCGUCGGCCGUGAAAUCUCCACGCUUAACGUGGAGCGUGCGGUCGAUACGGGCAGACUUGAGUUCGGUAGGGGAGACUGGAAUUCCUGGUGUAGCGGUGAAAUGCGCAGAUAUCAGGAAGAACACCCGUGGCGAAGGCGGCUCUCUGGGACGGUACUGACGCUGAGGAGCGAAAGCGUGGGGAGCAAACAGG
rnacentral:rRNA from 1 species